rnacentral:rRNA from 1 species
UACAGAGGUCCCGAGCGUUGUUCGGAUUCACUGGGCGUAAAGGGCUCGUAGGCGGCCAACUAAGUCAGACGUGAAAUCCCUCGGCUUAACCGGGGAACUGCGUCUGAUACUGGAUGGCUUGAGUUUGGGAGAGGGAUGCGGAAUUCCAGGUGUAGCGGUGAAAUGCGUAGAUAUCUGGAGGAACACCGGUGGCGAAGGCGGCAUCCUGGACCAACACUGACGCUGAGGAGCGAAAGCCAGGGGAGCAAACGGG